rnacentral:tRNA from 1 species
GCAGUCGUGGCCGAGUGGUUAAGGUGAUGGACUUGAAUCCAUUGGGGUCUCCCCGCACAGGUUCGAAUCCUGUCGGCUGCG